GCCAAAUGGUAAAAACUAAACAUGCUGAAAUUUAUUAUUUUUUCAAUAUUUUUAGAUUGAAGAAAAGAGACCAGGAAGAAACCUAAUACCGGACAUCUGUGGAAGACAGAGAGGAAAAAAAGAAUCAUCAGGGGACAAGAAAACGGAAGAAGAUGAAGAAGAAGAUCUGCUCCAAAGAGAAGGGGAAAAGGACAGUGACGUAAAGAAGUGAUUGGGAACUAGGUUUUCUUGAAGUGCUCAGUUUUUGAUGGCUGACUUCAUGUCUCUGCCAUGAAUUGUACGGAUAGGACAGAAUAUUUCCUGGAGGGCUUCUCUCUUGGUGUCUGACUUCAUGUCUCUGCCAUGAAUUGAACUAACAGGACAGAGUAUUGCUUGGAAUAUUUUUCUCAUGGUGGCUGACUUCAUGUCUCUGCCACAAAUUGUACUGAUAGGACAGAGUACUGCCUGGAGGGCUUGUCUCUUAGUGGCUGACUUCAUGUCUCUGCCACAAAUUGUACUGAUAGGAAAGAACAUUUCCUGGAUUGCUUCUCUCUUGGUGGCUGACUUCAUGUCUCUGCCAUGAAUUGAACUCAUAGGAAAGAGUAUUGCUUGGAAUAUUUUUGUCAUGGUGGCUGACUUCAUGUCUCUGCCACAAAUUGUACUGAUAGGACAGAGUACUGCCUGGAGGGCUUGUCUCUUAGUGGCUGACUUCAUGUCUCUGCCAUGAAUUGUACAGAUAGGACAGAUUAUUGCCUGGAGGGCUUGUCUCUUAGUGGCUGACUUCAUGUCUCUGCCAUGAAUUGAACUAACAGGACAGAGUAUUGCUUGGAAUAUUUUUCUCUUGGUGGCUGACUUCAUGUCUCUGCCAUGAAUAGUACUGAUAGGACAGAAUAUUUCCUGGAUUGCUUCUCUCUUGGUGGCUGACUUCAUGUCUCUGCCAUGAAUUGAACUCAUAAGACAGAGUAUUGCUUUGAAUAUUUUUCUCUUGGUGGCUGACUUCAUGUCUCUGCCACAAAUUGUACUGAUAGGACAGAUUAUUGCCUGGAGGGCUUGUCUCUUAGUGGCUGACUUCAUGUCUCUGCCACAAAUUGUACUGAUAGGAAAGAACAUUUCCUGGAUUGCUACUCUCUUGGUGGCUGACUUCAUGUCUCUGUCAUGAAUUGAACUCAUAGGAAAGAGUAUUGCUUGGAAUAUUUUUCUCUUGGUGGCUGACUUCAUGUCUCUGCCACAAAUUGUACUGAUAGGACAGAAUAUUUCCUGGAUUGCUUCUCUCUUGGUGGCUGACUUCAUGUCUCUGCCAUGAAUUGUACAGGUAGGACAGAGUAUUGCCUGGAGGGAUUGUCUCUAAGUGGCUGACUUCAUGUCUCUGCCACAAAUUGUACUGAUAGGACAGAUUAUUGCCUGGAGGGCUUAUCUCUUAGUGGCUGACUUCAUGUCUCUGCCACAAAUUGUACUGAUAGGAAAGAACAUUUCCUGGAUUGCUACUCUCUUGGUGGCUGACUUCAUGUCUCUGCCAUUAAUUGAACUCUUAGGAAAGAGUAUUGCUGGGAAUAUUUUUCUCUUGGUGGCUGACUUCAUGUCUCUGCCAUGAAUUGAACUCAUAGGAAAGAGUAUUGCUGGGAAUAUUUUUCUCUUGGUGGCUGACUUCAUGUCUCUGCCACGAAUUGUACUAAUAGGACAGAGUAUAGCCUGGACUAUUUUUCUCUUGCUGGCUGACUUCAUGUCUCUGCCACAAAUUGUACUGAUAGGACAGAAUAUUUCCUGGAUUGCUUCUCUCUUGGUUGCUGUCUUAAUGUCUUUGCCCUGAAUUGAACUCAUAGGACAGAAUAUUGCCUGGAUUGCUUCUCUCUUGGUGGCUGACUUCAAGUCGCUGCCAUGUAUUUCUGUGAAAUACAUGUUAGAAAAAUCGAGUGUGUUUAGAACAUACUGUUCCGAGACCUGACGAUGAAAAGACGGGAAGACACGGAUGUGACACCUCUGCCAGCUGCCAGCGUUGGAAGCCGAUUGCGAAGGCCUGCUGACCAAGAACUACAAUGGGAGAGCUCUGUUCAGAUUGCAGAAAAGAGAUCAGGAAGAAACUUAAUACCGGACAUCUGUGGAAGACAGAGAGGAAAAAAAGGAUCAUCAGGGGAAAAGAAAACGGAAGAAGAUGAAGAAGAAGAUCUGCUCCAAAGAGAAGGGAAAAAAGGACAGUGACGUAAAGAAGUGAUUGGGGAUUAGGUUUUCUUGAAGUGCACAGUUUUUGGUGGCUGACUUCAUGUCUAUGCCAUGAAUUGUACGGAGAGGACAGAAUAUUUCCUGGAGGGCUUCUCUCUUGGUGGCUGACUUCAUGUUUCUGCCAUGAAUUGAACUAACAGGACAGAGUAUUGCUUGGAAUAUUUUUCUCUUGGUGGCUGACUUCAUGUCUCUGCCAUGAAUUGUACAGAUAGGACAGAGUAUUGCCUGGAGGGCUUGUCUCUUAGUGGCUGACUUCAUGUCUCUGCCACGAAUUGUACGGAUAGGACAGAAUAUUUCCUGGAGGGCUUCUCUCUUGGUGGCUGACUUCAUGUCUCUGCCACGAAUUGUACUAAUAGGACAGAGUAUUGCCUGGACUAUUUUUCUCUUGCUGGCUGACUUCAUGUCUCUGCCAUGAAUAGUACAGAUAGGACAGAAUAUUUGCUGGAUUGCUUCUCUCUUGGUGGCUGACUUCAUGUCUCUGCCAUAAAUUGUAUGGAUAGGACAGAAUAUUUCCUGGAGGGCUUCUCUAUUGGUGGCUGACUUCAUGUCUCUGCCAUGAAUUGAACUAACAGGACAGAGUAUUGCUUGGAAUAUUUUUCUUUUGGUGGCUGACUUCAUGUCUCUGCCACGAAUUGUACUGAAAGGACAGAUUAUUGCCUGGAGGGCUUCUCUCUUGGUGGCUGACUUAAUGUCUCUGCCAUGAAUUGUACGGAUAAGACAGAUUAUUGCCUGGAGGGCUUGUCUCUUAGUGGCUGACUUCAUGUCUCUGCCACAAAUUGUACUGAUAGGACAGAUUAUUGCUUGGAGGGCUUCUCUCUUGUUGGCUGACUUCAUGUCUCUGCCACGAAUUGUACAGAUAGGACAGAAAAUUUCCUGGAGGGCUUCUCUCUUGGUGGCUGACUUCAUGUCUUUGCCAUGAAUUGAACUCAUAGGACAGAGUAUUGCUUGGAAUAUGUUUCUCUUUGUGGCUGACUUCAUGUCUCUGCCACGAAUUGUAUGGAUAGGACAGAGUAUUUCCUGGAGGUCUUCUCUCUUGGUGGCUGACUUCAUGUCUCUGCCACGAAUUGUACUGAAAGGACAGAGUAUUGCCUGGAGGGCUUGUCUCUUGGCGCCUGACUUCAUGUCUCUGCCAUGAAUUGUACUCAUAGGAGAGAGUAUUGCCUGGAAUGCUUCUCUCUUGGUGACUCACCUCUUGUCUCUGGCAUGUAUUACUGUCAAAUUCAUGUAGAUAAAUCGAGUGUUUUUAUUACUUACUGUUCCAAGACCUGACGAAGAAAAGACGGCAAGACACGGGCGUGACACAUCUGCCAGCUGCCAGCGUUGCAACCCGAUUGCAAAGUCCUGCUGACCAAGAACUACAAUGGGAGAGCUCUGUUCAGCACAGAGAUCAGGAUGAAACCUAAUACUGAAAUUGUGUGGAAGACAGAGAGGGGGAAAAGGAUCAUCAGGGGACAAGAAAACGGGAGAAGAUAAAGAGGAAGAUCUGCUCCAAAGAGAAGGGGAAAAAAGGAUCGUUACGUAAAUAAUUGAUUGGGGACUAAGUUUUCUUGAAGUGCUCAGUUUUUGGUGGCUGAUUUCAUGUCUCUGCCAUGAAUUGUAGUGAUAGGAUAGAAUAUUUCUUGGAGGGCUUCUCUCUUGGUGGCUGACUUCAUGUCUCUGCCAUGAAUUCAACUGAUAGGAGAGAAUAUUUCCUGGAGUAUUUUUCUCUUAGUGGCUGACUUCAUGUCUCUGCCACGAAUUGAACUGAAGGGACCUUAAAUUUCCUUGAGAGCUCUUUUUUGGUGGCUGAGUUUAUAUCUUUACUAUGUAUUGAACUGUUUGGUCAUGAAAUCUGUUGAAGUGCUCCUUUUUUAUUGCUGACUUCAUGUCUAUUCCAUGUAUUACUGUGAUUAACAUUUAACAUUAUUAGAGGUAGAAAGAUCUUCUUUCAGGCACAUUUGGAAGAAACGUCAGACAGAAGAUAUAUUAAAGACACAAAGAAAGAAAAGGAUUUUCAUGGGCCUGAUAUCUGGAGACGUUGGGUAGAAGAUCUGCUCCAAAGAAUUAGAAGUGAAGAACAGUGAUAUAAUCAAAACGAUGGUUACUAAAUUUGCUCAAAUGCUCCUUUUUUGGUAGCUGACUUCAUGUCUCUGCCAGUUAUUGCACUGAUUGGAGGGUAAGUUUUUGAAUUGCUACUUUCUUGUUGGCUUUCUUCAUGUCUCUUCCACGCAUUGCUCUUUGUAUCCCCUAAGAUAUAGUAGAUGUAGUGGGCUUUCCACUUAAUGUCAUGACCAGUGUUGCUUCUAAGGCGGAUCCCCAGGUUUCGUUCACUACAACUCCCAGAAUCCCCAGCUGCUACGGCUUUUGCUUAGAAAUUAUGGGAGUUGUAGUCAACAACAUCUGGGAAUCCCUCUUACAGGGAACACUGGCCGUGACUAGUUUUAAAUCAGCUUCUCUGUUCUGCCUUGGCCCCAGUCUUUGGUUCUCUUUCUGGUUCCUUCGUAGGAAAGGAGGUCUAAUAGGUGAAUGCCAUUUCUGACUGCUGAAUGACCUGAUAUGUUGCGAAGGUCCUCCGGCUGGGUGAGGAUACCCCAUGAUAUGACUCUGAUCAG